UCUCCGUAGGUGAACCUGCGGAGGGAUCAUACAGAGUUCAUGCCCUACCGGGUAGAUCUCCCACCCUAUGUUAUUAUUACUUUGUUGCUUUGGCGGGCCGUUAGGCUCCGGCCCGACUACCGGCCCCGGCUGGUAAGCGCCCGCCAGAGGACCCAAAACCCUGAAUAUUAGUGUCGUCUGAGUACUAUAUAAUAGUUAAAACUUUCAACAACGGAUCUCUUGGUUCUG
rnacentral:misc_RNA from 1 species